rnacentral:misc_RNA from 1 species
UUUUAAAGAAAUGAUUGCAUUUAUUCUGUCCUGUAUUUUGAUCGGUGCCAAUGCUGGCCCCUUUCCAGAAGGAAGCGAUGCUGAGGCGAGAUAUGUCUUUCAUCUCGCAGACAAAGACGGCAAUUACUCACUCUCGCUUGCCGAGUUUCAGCGCAUUUUCUUCGAUUUCGAUCGAAAUCACGACAAGUCAGUGACCAGUGACGAGUUCCUGUUGGGCUGGAUGGAGCGCCACCUGGGAUCGUCACUGGAGGCUGUGAUUCUUUUCCACCAUCUGGACGUGGACAGGAAUGGACAUAUCGAAGUAACAGACAUCCCCUGGAUUCUUGCCUUUUUCGACAGAAACAGUACUUAUUCUUAAAACUUCUUCUUGUCAGUUGCAAUUAACUGCCCUGUUGUAAAUUUUGAAUUUACUGGAUGGGUGUAAAUAAAAUUUACAACAUGACAUCGAUUAUGGUUUCGUUCUACCCCCUCAAAGAACGAAAAGCGAAACUAAAUGUGGGUCGGUUGUACAUCUAGAGAUCUUUUAUAGAAAUAAUGAUUUUCCAAAUGGGAAUUUUGAAUGCGAUUUGAUUUUGAUAUUUUGACAGUUAAUUUGCGUAAUUUUAUUAACUGCAAUAGUCACAUGCAACUUCUUUGUAAUUUCAGUGGACGGGGUUGUAGGACAAGCAGAAUUCGUCAUCACCUGGCUGAAACUGAUUAACUCUCCCCAGUCCAGAUGAAGAAUACAAACACACACGUGUAUGAAAGCAUAAUGUCUUGUUUCUUUUUUUUUUAAAAUCGUUCAUUAAAAUCCAAAAACCCC